GUGCUCGCUUUGGCAGCACAUAUACUAAAAUUAGAAUGAUACAGAGAAGAUUAGCAUGGCCCCUGCGCAAGGAUGACACACAAAUUUGUGAAGCGUUCCAUAUUUUU
rnacentral:snRNA from 1 species